rnacentral:rRNA from 1 species
AAUGCAAGUCGAGCGGACCUUUCGGGGUCAGCGGCGGACGGGUGAGUAACGCGUAAGAUCGGGCCUUCCGGUUCGGAAUAACCCUGGGAAACUAGGGCUAAUACCGGAUACGCCCUUAUGGGGAAAGGGAAACUGCCGAAAGAUCGGCCCGCGUCUGAUUAGCUAGUUGGUGGGGUAACCGCCUACCAGGGCGACGAUCGGUAGCUGGUCUGAGAGGAUGAUCAGCCACACUGGGACUGAGACACGGCCCAGACUCCUACGGGAGGCAGCAGUGGGGAAUAUUGGACAAUGGGCGCAAGCCUGAUCCAGCCAUGCCGCGUGAGUGAUGAAGGCCCUAGGGUUGUAAAGCUCUUUUAUCCGGGACGAUAAUGACGGUACCGGAGGAAUAAGCCCCGGCUAACUUCGUGCCAGCAGCCGCGGUAAU